rnacentral:rRNA from 1 species
UGAGUACGAGCUGCUACGGCAGCGAAGUGGGUGAUGUCAAGCUUCCAAGAAAAGCCCUAUACCCGUUAAGGCAUGAUGGCCUGUACCCGAAACCGACACAGGUGGGGUGGUAGAGAAUACCGAGGGGCGCGAGAUAACUCUCUCUAAGGAACUCGGCAAAAUGGCCCCGUAACUUCGGGAGAAGGGGUGCCACCGCAAGGUGGUCGCAGUGAAGAGGCCCAGGCGACUGUUUACCAAAAACACAGGUCUCCGCUAAGUCGCAAGACGAUGUAUGGGGGCUGACGCCUGCCCAGUGCCGGAAGGUUAAGGAAGCUGGUCAGCGAAAGCGAAGCUAGCGACUGAAGCCCCGGUGAACGGCGGCCGUAACAAUAACGGUCCUAAGGUAGCGAAAUUCCUUGUCGGGUAAGUUCCGACCCGCACGAAAGGCGUAACGAUCUGGGCGCUGUCUCGGAGAGAGGCUCGGCGAAAUAGAAUUGUCUGUGAAGAUGCGGACUACGUGCACCCGGACAGAAAGACCCUAUGAAGCUUUACUGUAGCUUGGUAUUGUGCUCGGGCUCGGAAUGCGCAGGAUAGGUGGGAGGCUAUGAACCAUUGCUUGUGGGUGAUGGUGAGCCACUGGUGAGAUACCACUCUUUCCGAGCUAGAGUUCUAACAGCCACCCGUUAUCCGGGGGCUGGACAGUAUCAGGUGGGCAGUUUGACUGGGGCGGUCGCCUCCUAAAAGGUAAGGGAGGCGCGCAAAGGUUUGCUCAGGCUGGUUGGAAAUCAGCCGACGAGUGUAAAAGCAGAAGCAAGCUUGACUGUGAGACCUACAAGUCGAACAGGGAGGAAACUCGGCUUUAGUGAUCCGACGGUUCUGCGUGGAAGGGCCGUCGCUCAACGGAUAAAAGUUACUCUAAGGAUAACAGGCUGAUCUCCCCCAAGAGUUCACAUCGACGGGGAGGUUUGGCACCUCGAUGUCGGCUCAUCGCAACCUGGGGCUGAAGUCGGUCCCAAGGGUUGGGCUGUUCGCCCAUUAAAGCGGUACGCGAGCUGGGUUCAGAACGUCGUGAGACAGUUCGGUCCAUAUCCGGUGCAUGCGCAGGAAUAUUGAGAGGAUUUCUCCCUAGUACGAGAGGACCGGGAGGAACGCACCUCUGGUGUACCAGUUAUCGUGCCAACGGUAAACGCUGGGUAGCCAUGUGCGGAGAGGAUAACCGCUGAAAGCAUCUAAGUGGGAAGCCCACCUCAAGAUGAGUAUUCCCAUGGGGUAACCCAGUAAGGUCACGGGAAGAACACCCGUUGAUAGGCUCUACGUGGAAGCGCAGUAAUGUGUGAAGCGGAGGAGUACUAAUAGACCGAGGGCUUG